AUGGAGUUAGAGUCAAAUCGAUUUAUCAAAAGGUCAAUAAAAAAAGCAUACAUAUGUGUGUAUGUAUAUAUACAUGGUGGAGCCGAAGAGAAGAUCAUGGAAAAUGGGGCACGGUUCCAAGGCAACUCUUUGUUCAUGGAUGUGGUCCAUAAUGGAGGGAAGAUAAUGAGAAUUUGGCUCGUAAUUAAGAAGCAGCAUGGUGCAGUCGAAAUUGGAAUCAGAGGACCUAUGGUGAAGAAACAAGCCCAGAGAUGUUAAGGGAAAGGAUCAAAGUCAUCCAAAUAAUCUGAUUGAUUUCCUAUCACCAUUUCUACUCCCCUCUACCCUAAAUAAAAAAAAAAUAUCUCAAAUGAUUUAUGGUUUA
rnacentral:lncRNA from 1 species